rnacentral:lncRNA from 1 species
GUAAAAUGUUACUUAAUUAUGAUACUUUUGUUCUGGAAAACAUAACUUUGGUUUUCCUAGUGAGAUAUUUGUUGAAUUGAUUGUUAUAAUUUUGCAGUAAUGGUCUUGAUACUGUAUUUUGUUCUUCAGUCUGUCUAAAUUUCAUAAAAUUCCGUGAAGGUUUGAAACAGUCAAGAUUACUGGGAAACUUUAUCCUUAAUUAUUGAAGUUAACAUGAUACGAACAUAUCAUGUUCCAUUAUUUUGCGAAAGAGUAGAUUUCAGUAUCUGACGGAGGAAAAGGGUUCAUAGGAUACGCAUUUGGUUGGCGAAAUAGUUUCUUUGAUAGAGACAUAUUGAGUUUUUCUUUGAAGGAAUCCAUUGCGUUCACCGUUUUAUCUUUUAAAAUACGAGUAC